GACGAACGCUGGCGGCGUGCCUAAUACAUGCGAGUAGAACGCUGAAGGAGGAGCUUGCUUCUCUGGAUGAGUUGCGAACGGGUGAGUAACGCGUAGGUAACCUGCCUGGUAGCGGGGGAUAACUAUUGGAAACGAUAGCUAAUACCGCAUAAGAGUAGAUGUUGCAUGACAUUUGCUUAAAAGGUGCAAUUGCAUCACUACCAGAUGGACCUGCGUUGUAUUAGCUAGUUGGUGGGGUAACGGCUUACCAAGGCGACGAUACAUAGCCGACCUGAGAGGGGGAUCGGCCACACUGGGACUGAGACACGGCCCAGACUCCUACGGGAGGCAGCAGUAGGGAAUCUUCGGCAAUGGACGGAAGUCUGACCGAGCAACGCCGCGGGAGUGAAGAAGGUUUUCGGAUCGUAAAGCUCUGUUGUAAGAGAAGAACGAGUGUGAGAGUGGAAAGUUCACACUGUGACGGUAUCUUAACAGAAAGGGACGGCUAACUACGUG
rnacentral:rRNA from 1 species